ACCAAGAAUUUGACGUAUCCCCACCCAACUAGAGGAGCCUGUUCUAUAAUCGAUAAUCCACGAUACACCUAACCAUUUNUUCGCUUCCAGCCUGUAUACCUCCGUCGCAAGCUUACUGUUUGAGUAUAUACUAGUGAGCUAAGAGGCCGCCGCCACAACGUCAGGUCAAGGUGCAGCUUACGAAAUGGAAGUAAUGGGCUACAAUCUCUAAUCUAGAGUAAACGAAACACUACAUGAAAUAUAGUUAUGAAGGAGGAUUUAGCAGUAAAUAAGAAGUAGAAAGUCUUAUUAAACUCGGCCCUGGGAUGUGUACAAACCGCCCGUCACCCUCUUUGUAAUUCGUAACAAAUUAAUUAUACACCACCAAAAUAUAAAGAGGCAGUCGUAACAUGGUAAGUAUACUGGAAGUGUACUUG
rnacentral:rRNA from 1 species